UACGUAGGGUGCAAGCGUUGUCCGGAAUUAUUGGGCGUAAAGAGCUCGUAGGCGGUUCGUCGCGUCGGCUGUGAAAACCCGGAGCUCAACUCCGGGCCUGCAGUCGAUACGGGCGGACUUGAGUGUUGCAGGGGAGACUGGAAUUCCUGGUGUAGCGGUGAAAUGCGCAGAUAUCAGGAGGAACACCGGUGGCGAAGGCGGGUCUCUGGGCAACUACUGACGCUGAGGAGCGAAAGCCGGGUGGGACGAAACGGG
rnacentral:rRNA from 1 species